rnacentral:pre_miRNA from 1 species
UACCCUGCCUGUUUGUGCCAUACUCUGCCUGCCCUACACUGCCUGUGUGUGCCAUACACUGCCUGCCCUAACCUGUCUGGGUAUGGCACACACAGGCAGCAUAGGGCAGGCAGAGUAUGGCACACACA